rfam:Aggregatibacter actinomycetemcomitans D11S-1, complete genome.
GUGCGGUCACAAAAAACGGCGUUUUUUGAACGUUGGCUUUGCCAACGGCCCCGUUAGGGGUGAACAAACGAGAGAUCGAGUUUGUGAAUAAUUUUACACG